rnacentral:lncRNA from 12 species
CUCGGUGUUCCAUAAAGCCACUUGUAACAUUUCCAUCUGCUGCACAUAAAAACAGCCAGGCAGACAGCCUGCUGACCAGUGGUUGUAGUGAUGAACUCUCUCAUGUUCUGGUAGGUCAGAGAGUUGCAGCUGCUCUUACAGUCUCUGGAAUUUACUGUCUUGCUUCCCAUCUGGCUCUUUUGCACUAAAGAUCCUUGGAGUCAAACCUUCAGAGGCUGCCCCUCCCUCCCAGCCUUCCCAGGGUAGGAAACGGACUGACCGGCAAAUAAAACUGGGGCAUACUGAAGAGGUCAGAGACCAAAGUGACCUCUAGAGCGUGAGUGAUGCACAACCCCCAUGGACUAUUCUUGUUUUAAUGACCAAAUGCAGCCACUAAAUGGUCUUCCUGGUGUCAGCUCAUGACUGAAGAGAACAGAAUAUUUCUAGAAUCUUAGAGGUGGCUAUAGCAGAAGCCUCAUCAGAGCAAGAAAAGGGAAAAAAAAUAGUUGAAUUUUCCUUUUCCCAUCACUGCAUUUGCCACUUUGUACAUAGAGGGCAGAUUCAGUUACCAGCUACCGUGUUAAGGAUUGUGAGCACUGAGCUAACACCCAGCAAACUCCUACAGGGACAGAGCCUUAAGAUAGCAUCAGACUCUCUGCGGCUAUUCCCACCAAAGGGGAGACGUUCCCUCUGGAGCCAUAGGUUAAGACCACUGGGUUGCGUCCCAAUUCACAUGGCACCUGCCAGCCACAUGCAAAGACUGAGGAACAGAUUCUAA